GCUGGGUGUGGUUGCACACGCCUGUAAUCCCAGCAGCUCGGGAAGCUGAGACAGGAGGAUUGCGAGUUUAAAGCCAGUCUCGGCAAUAGUGAGGCACUUAGCAACUCAUUGAGACCCUGUCUCUA
rnacentral:sRNA from 1 species